CUACGGGCUGCUCCAGUGAGGAAUAUUGCACAAUGGGGGGAACCCUGAUGCAGCAACGCCGCGUGGAGGAUGACGCAUUUCGGUGUGUAAACUCCUUUUAUAUGUCAAGAAAAUGACGGUAGCAUAUGAAUAAGCACCGGCUAACUCCGUGCCAGCAGCCGCGGUAAUACGGAGGGUGCAAGCGUUACUCGGAAUCACUGGGCGUAAAGGACGCGUAGGCGGGUUGGAAAGUCAGGUGUGAAAUCCUACAGCUUAACUGUAGAACUGCACUUGAAACUUCCAAUCUAGAGUAUGGGAGGGGGAGAUGGAAUUAGUGGUGUAGGGGUAAAAUCCGUAGAUAUCACUAGGAAUACCUAAAGCGAAGGCGAUCUCCUGGAACAUUACUGACGCUAAGGCGUGAAAGCGUGGGGAGCAAACAGGAUUAGUACCCCCGUAAUC
rnacentral:rRNA from 1 species